rnacentral:tRNA from 1 species
AGCAGCGUGGCUCAGUGGAAAGAGCCCGGGCUUGGGAGUCAGAGGUCGUGGGUUCGAAUCCCACCUCCGCCC